rnacentral:rRNA from 1 species
GAAUAUUGGACAAUGGGCGCAAGCCUGAUCCAGCCAUGCCGCGUGUGUGAAGAAGGCCUUCGGGUUGUAAAGCCCUUUAGGUGGGGAGGAAGGGCAGUAGRUUAAUACUCUGYUGUUUUGACGUUACCCACAGAAUAAGCACCGGCUAACUUCGUGCCAGCAGCCGCGGUAAUACGGAGGGUGCAAGCGUUAAUCGGAAUUACUGGGCGUAAAGCGCGCGUAGGUGGUUUGUUAAGUCAGAUGUGAAAUCCCCGGGCUCAACCUGGGAACUGCAUUCGAAACUGGCAAGCUAGAGUGUGGUAGAGGGGGGUGGAAUUCCCGGUGUAGCGGUGAAAUGCGUAGAGAUCGGGAGGAACACCCGUGGCGAAGGCGGCC